AAAGUACAAAGCUUGUACAAUAACAAUCCUCUCUUCAAACUAUCACCUCUCUAUCAAUCUCAAACCUAAACAUUCCCAAAAUUGUUAUCCAAAUUUGAUUUAGUUCAUUCAACUAUUUUACUUUCAUAAGCUAUUUUGCAAAGUCAUCAAUUAUUACUACAAUGAGCAACAUGAUGAACAAAACAGCAAAAUUGCAGAAGCAAAUUAUAGCUGGUUUAACAAAGUCCAAAACUAUGGCAUUAAAGUCCAAAACAAAUGCCAUCAAAGCUCGUUUAAUUAUAUUCUCACUCAUGAAGAAUAAAAAGUUCCUUAUGAGUUCAAUUUCAGAUAAGUUUCAUUCUGUUUGGGGGAGUCAUUCUCAUCAUCACUCCAAAGAAGGUGGCAAUUAUGAUGAUCAUAAUAGAGCCAUGGUUGUGUAUUACAACAAUGCUCACACUUAUGAGGCGUUGCGAAAUCCAAGUGAAACACAAGUUGUGGAUGAACAAGAUCAAGAAGAUGGACAUGGUGGUUACUAUGAUGAUGAUAAUCCUUUUGGUUCUCAGGGAUUGGAUUUUGACGGAUCGGUGAUUGAUAAGGUGAAGAAUUGUAAGGAAGAAGCAGGGAAAGAAUUUAAACUUGAGGAUGAUAUUGAUGAAGUUGCUGAUCUUUUUAUUAGGAGGUUUAAAAGGAAUAUAAUCUUGCAAAAACAAGAUUCAUUGAAGAGGAAGAGGGAAAUGGUCCAAAAGGGUGCUUGAAUUUUCAGUUCAUUUUUUUAUUUUGAGUCCAAAAGGGUGCUUGUAUAUAGGAUCCAAACUCCUUGAAAUAUUUUAUUGAAAUCUGGACCGUCAAUAUUUUGAUUUGACGAUUCAGAUGUGAAGUCACAAGUACCGCACACAAUCAAAAUAAGAGUUCUAGAUGCCUAUAUACUUUAGUUUUGUAGGCUCAAUAUUACAUUUUGCUUGAACUAUGUACUACCAUGUUUAAUUUCAUGAUUUUGGCAUCGGUUAUAAUUUGGCCUUUACGUGCAGAACUAAUAUGCCUUUGUUGGACUAUAUGCAUUGCAGCCAUUAGACUCACCAUGCUUGUUGGACUAUAUAAAUGAAUGAGUGACAUCAGAAAAAAAAUUUAAAAAUGAGGAACCAAAAUUUAGGAAAAAGAUGAACGGGGACCAAGAAACUGAUAUUUAAAAGGCUUUAAUAUGUGUUUUGUCCUUGUAAUUAGGGGUCAUUUAAAAUUUGGUCCCUGUAAUCGUUAAUCCUGGCAAAUUGCCCUUGCAAAUAUUAAUCAUUUAAAAUUUCGUUCCUUGACCCAAUCAAUGACUGCCACUUCAUCAAAUUAGCAAAAUUGCAUGGGAAUGGACCAAAAUACACUCAUUUUUCUUAUUGCCCAGAAUACCAUCUUGGAGCCCAUAAAAAUAGCAUGGAACAGAAUAAAAAUAUUCAUCUUAAUCGAAGUCACAACAACAACAAUAUCAACUACAACUUCCUCUGAAAUUGAAGAAUCCAAAAUUCAUCUCUCAAUUGAAGAACAUAGAACACACAACAAACCUAUUCAGAAAACACCAUAAAAAACCAUAACAACAUAAAAUCCACCCUCUUCUUCUCCACCCUCCGAUUCAGAAACAACAACAGCCGGAGAACACCGCGAAGUGGAUCUUUUCUCCGAUGAAAUCCUUCCGGAUCGUACACACAAUGAGAUCUGAACGAAAGAGGUAACAACUGAUAUCAGUAAAUCAAACCAAAUCAAUCUAUUGAGGAGGAAUCGAGGGAGUGGAAGAACGCCGGCGAGGGAGGAGGAUCGGACUUGGGAUGGCCUAAUCGUUGGAAACAUGUUGAUGAAGCUGAGGUGUGUUAAACAGUUCCCACUUUAAUUUCAAAGUUUCUAGCAUCUUCUUAGCUUCACGCUGCUGUUAAUUACAAAGAAAGAAACAAACUGUUAAAGAAAAUUGGUGUUCGAAGAUAAAAGAAAAUUGAAAAAUUGAAGAGUUUUCAUUCUUACACAGUAGCCAUUGAUUAUGCUCCUGCACUUAAAUGUGUCUAUGUUCAAGUCAGCGCAAUUCAUCUCUUUCCAAGUGAAACUAGUUUAGAGUUGGAAUUACAUUUCCACACUUAUGUCCAAUCUAUCUAUUUGUCAAAAAAAAGUCCAAUUAAAAAAAAAGGAAGAGGGAGGAAGAAAGGGGUACGAAUAGGGAAGAGGCAAGAGGGUAUUCUGGGCUUCAAGAUGAUGAAGCUAUGAAUUCUGGACAAUAAGAAGAAUGAGGGUAUUUUUGUCUAUUUCCAUGCAAUUUUGCUAAUUUGAUGACGUGGCAGUUAUUAAGUGGGUCAAGGGACGAAAUUUUAAAUGAUUAAUAUUUGCAAGGGCAAUUUGUCAGGAUUAGCGAUUACAAGGACCAAAUUUUAAAUGACCCCUAAUUGCAAGGGCGAAACACAUAUUAAAGCCUAUUUAAAAUAAGGGAAGCAAGACUUCAUUUUUUUAAAUAGAGGGAUCGAAUGUGUGUUUAAGCAUAAAAUUAUUCAAAAAUAUUUUGUGAGGACAACACUUGAUUUAUAAUAAAAUUAAUCAACAUUAGGUGUUCAAAUUAACGGAAACAACACUCAAUAGAAAACCACAAAUUGAACUAACUCAAACUAAAAAUCGCAAAAAAUUAUAUUUGAUUGGGAUUUAUUUGGGCAACUUUUUCACUUGACUUUACGAUUCAGUUUGCGGUUUUUGUUUACCACACGAACCAAACCAAACUAAAACGCAAACUUAUAGAAACACUCAAGCAAUCCAAACACUCACUCAGCCCAAAAUAGUCAUUUUUUAUUAUAUUUUUUCUUAGCCCUUUCUUUUUUCUUUUUUACAAUACAAGUCGUAUAAAAUAUACAACACCAAUGUCAUCCAUAAAAUAGAGAAUAAACUUUACAAAUCGUAUAAAAAAGAGGUAAUUGUAAAAAGUUUAAUUUAUAUACAUUGUCAUUCUACAUUUUUUUUUACUGAUGCAUCAAUGCUCUGUUGCUAUAUCAAUUAAUGAGAUAUGAAAAGUCAUGUAUUUUUAACUCGUUACGUGAUGUGGCAACACAUAAUUGAAUGCAUGUGUAAAAGUUUUGUACAAUAUAUAUAAACAAAAUGCAAUUGUAAAUAUUGAUGAUUUUGGUUAUAUUUUCAUUUAGCCCUUUUUUCUUCUAUUUGUAAUUGAAGUUAAUCGUUAAUUGUAACACUUUUUUUUUAGGACAUGGUUGCACCUUUUCUUAUGUGCCUUAUAAUGAUAUUAGACCAUCCACAACAGGGCACUCCGAUUUAAGUGCUUAAAUGGAACUCCUUUGUCCACAUCACUCAUUUUAUGAUAGUACUUACUAAGCACCAAUUUUUUUCAAUCCAGCACCGCAAAAAAAAUUACUAAAUAUGUUCCACACCGCGAACAAAUUACAUCACUCAUUUUAUGAUAGUACUUAUUUAGAAGUUUGUACCAAAUAAAAAGAAAUAUAAUGAUAUUAGAAGUUAAUUGUAAAUCGUUGGAAAUUAGUUAAUUAAUUGUUGUAGCAAAUAUAAUUAAAACUGUUGACAAUUUUUAAAAAUUACAUGCUAGCUUGCAAAAUACCAAACAACACCGCGAACACACCAAUGUAUCCCCAAUUGGUUGAACCUACAUCCGUCCUUGCUUGAUUAAAGUCAUUUUCUUUCUGUGCUAAGACUUUCAACAACACGAAUAAUUUAUAUAUAAUAAUCAUAUAAUGUUCCAUAAGCUACAAAAAUAUCCAACUUAUAUACACAUGUUCUUCUAAAUUAUAACGAUUGAUUAAUCUUUACAGCCUAGAUUGCACAACGAUCCUAACCUCGUGUUAAUUUCCCACCAAAAAAAUGAAAAGCAAAAUCAAUCAAAUCUCGUCCGUGCAACUAAGUGCAUCUCUUUUGGUUUCAAUUGGAACAGAGGUACAUAACUUAUACAACUACAAAUGCAUGCACGUAUUUCCUAUAAAUAAAUAAAUAAAUUAGUUUACUUUAGUGAGAAUAUUGGAUGAACAAGGCAACUAAAACCAUAGCCAAAGCUAUUAUCGAUCUAGACUUCAACCUACCUUUCCACUAUUAAAAAAAAUCCAAGUUGUACUACAAAAAAAAGCCGUUUGAGAAACUACAAAGAAAGGCCCACAAAGUAGAUUGGAAAAAGUUAUGACAUACAUGCAUAUCCAUGCACCUUAAUUUUUUUUCAUAAUUUGGCUAGUUUGAUAUUAGUGUUGCUUAAUUUAAUUUCGUGAGACAAUGGUAAAAGGAUACUAAUAUCUCUAUCAUUCUCUCAAUACAUUGAGUGAAAUUUUGAUUAAAUGUAAGGUUAAACAACCCCUUGACAUAUAUUAUUGUAAGAACUCAAUUUUACUGAUAUGUAUAAUUCAUUUUGCUUAUGAAUAAAUAUGAAUUUACUAUAUACAUAUCCUUAUAAAAACAACAUAGAAUUAAACUUAGCCGGUAGAAGGCAAUAUACCUUCAAAUGCAUGCCUAUAUUCAGCUAAAUUAUAUAGGGACCACAUUUGCAAAAGUAUUAUCAAAAGAUUUUUAAAACUAUAACUUUGCAUUAUAUAGCCGUUCAUGUUCAACUAGAUAUUAAAUACUCUAUCAUUUAUAGACAUACAUUCAUAAAGCAUGUAAAAGAAAUUCCAAUAGAAGAAACGCACAAAUGAGAUUAUUUGAAUUCAAGCAGCCGUUCUUAAUUAGUGCUUAAUUGGACUUUUUUGAAUUUUGGCAAUGCAUUUUUUGUGUGCUAAAUUAUGACCACUUUGUCGAGCUUUAUACGUAGGUCAAAUCAGAUGGUUGAGACAUGGGAACAACAUUUACGUAAUGCAUGCAUUUUCUUGUUGCUUUUGAAAUUACUCCUAUUGAAAACAAAACACGAAAAGCACCCACUACCCCAAAAUCAAAGCCAUACCCAAAAUUAGCUAGCCGCCUCCUCCAUUCUCUCUUCCACGGGAGACGGAGAGGGGUGGUUUAGAGCUAAAAAAUUUUUAUCCGAAAUAACCCUAAAUCAUUUUUUCUUUUUAUUUAAACAAGUGAUUUAUACAAAUAUUUUGUCGUUUUAAUUUAAUGCAAUGCGUAUUUCUAACACCUUAAUUUCUUCAUAUUUGUAGGUUUUUUCAUACUUAUAGGUAUUUGUUGUUAUUAACGUAGAUGCUAUAAAUUAUUUGAUUGAUUUAGUCUAUCAAUUUAAACGAAUGUCAUUUUUUAUAAAGUAAAAAAGGCAACAAUUAAUUUAUACCAAAGCAACUAAAUUUGAAAUUGCACAAGUGAGUGCGAUCGAGCUAGGAGGUCUAAACUCCAAAAGCAAAAAUAAAAUCUAUAGGAAAAAGUUUACAAUCAUAUGUACUAUUUUGAUUAGGUAACUAGAUAUUUGAGUGGUUGGUUUCCAUACAAACAAGGGGUUCGUCAUAUGGAUGAUUUAUUUGGUACCAAUGCGUGGGACCAAUGCUAUUGUACAUAUGUUUAAUACAUAUUUCAUUUAGAAAAUGACUGUAAAAAAAAGUUGACCUUGCCAAGUUUAAACUAAAGCAACCCACUUUAAGAUUAAUGACGAUGAAAUUUAGCUAGCAGGGCUGGAAAUAGGUUAACAAGUUUUUAUAUAAUUAUGCCUACCCAAAAAAAAGUUUUUAUAUCAUAUCAAAAUUGGGGAUAAUCUGUGAAAAUCUUAGAUGAGAAUUAUACUUACCACAUAAAUAAAUUAAUUUCUUUGAAACAAUGGAUAUAAUAAUUGUUGAGGCGUUUCUAUGGAUUUUGUAAAAAUAAAAUAAAAUAUGAGUUUAGUUAAUUGACACGAUCUUGCGCACCCUCAACAACAGUUCUCUCCUUCAAAUUAUAUUUACUAUCUCAUGAGAUUUAAAAUAAUAAUGGAACCAAGUUCUUAAACAUAAUAAAAUAAUGAACUCAAGAGAUUAAUGAUCACCUGUUAAAAAGAAAUCAUUUUGGGAGAAUUCGAAUUUGAGUCCCAAAUUCAGAUUUAGUGGAGCCCCAAACCCCUAAAAAAGUAGGGUUAAGACAAAAUAAGUAUUUUUUUAUUUUCUAGAUGGAUAACAUAUAACUAUGGAUUGCUUGUUAAGGGUUUAACAUUCUGCAUGAUGACGGAAGUUAAUUUUUGUUGUUUGAGCUUGCUCAUUUUCUUUUGUCUUAUAAGUUUGCAUUUGGGUUGAGUUUCCUAACACUUGUUAGCAAAACCAUUUGUAAUAGUAUUCUUCUUUGCUGAAUAAAAAAAAAUACAAUGGAAACACACCCCAAUCACUUUAGCCUACAAGUGUACAAAUUGCAUCUAACAAUAAAAAAAUCAUCCUAAUAAAUGAGGGAACAUCAUCCCACCAAGUAUUGAAAUGAGAAGCAACGGAAAGAGAGGUUAGUUAUAUAUGCACAACAAUUGCCAAUCUCUAAAAAUAUGAGAAACUAAAAGAGUAAUAAUAUUUUCAACAUCAAAAUUUUGAUAAUUUAUGUGACAACCUAUAAAACAAAGUGUUAAUUUGAUUAAGAGAGAGAAAGAAAAAAAAUACUAUAAAACUCUCAUGAGUUGUUUUUAGUGUGAUUUUAUAAAUUGUCAUAUAAAUUGUCAAAAUUUUAAUGUUCAAAUAUCUUUGCUCAAACUAAAAAGCAUCUCUAAAAUUAAGUAGUCUUUUCACUAAAAAUUAUUGAAUAAUUUUAUAUGUAAAGAAUCAAAUCCAAAUCAGUGUGAGAGAUAAAUUAUAUAUAUACUCAAAAAUUUGAAGAAGCAUCAACAUCUCUAUAAUUAUUCAUCUGAAAUUUGUUGCUAGCACUUCUCUAUUCUUUAUGUGUCUUCAUAUUUUAAAAUUAAUUUGUAUUUUUUUCAUUUUCAACACAGUUAAACAUUCCCUCAAAAAAAAAAAAAAAAAUACACAGUUAAACAUCUCAAAAGAACAUUGUCAAAUAUCUCUCACAAACUAUAUUUAAAAUAUGAAGACACAUAAAGAAUAAAUGUGUUGAAAAUAUUAGUGAUGUUAUUAUAAUUGUUUUUUAAUAUAAACAUCUACAAUAUACAAUCUUGCCUCACUGAUAAAAUAUUUUGGACGAGUUUCUGGUUUUUUGAGUUUACGCUAUAAAAAAUUUGAUGUUGACAUUAUUCUUUUAAUUUAUUUCAAUUAUUUUACUUCCAUUGACAUGAAAAACAACAAAGCACACGGCACUAGAAAGUGGAGAAGAUUAAAAUGAAAAUCGUAAGGCUCUUGUGAGCAACCUUAGGGGCUAAGUUUUCAUAAAAAAAUCUACAAUAAUUUGAAUAUAUUCAAUCAAGCUCACUUCAAAAACUUCCUCACGCCAUGCCUUGAAAUCCGUUGCAAUAGUCAAAUUAGUGGCCCAGAAUAUUUGAACAGUGCUAUAAUCUAAGCCUUUACCUUUUUUUUUGAAGGGAUUUAAGCCACCUUGGUGAAGUUGAUUGUGAUAAUAUGAUUUUGACUACACUAAGCAAUUGAGAUUCCUAUUUCUAACAAAAACAAUUGAAUAAAGAUCAAAUGCAAUGUCAGUGGUACCACCCUUCUCCCCAUAUCACAAAAGAUUAGAGUCUGUAUAAUAAUGGUCUAUUGUGGAUGGUUAUUUUUGUCAUUUACCCCAAAAAUAUAUAAAGUUAAUGGAUUGAGUAGUAAUUAUUCCAUAGCAUCUGGUGGGUUAGGUUGGUUUGCCAGUGUGCCCAUAUCAUAUCAUUUCCUCAAAAGCUUCAAAGGUCCCCCAAAAUAGUGGUCAAAUUAUUGUAAGGGGCCAUAUGAAACCGUCUAUACUACAAAAGCAAGGGGACUUUGUUUUCUGUUUUUGUGGUUUUGUAAUUUCUUUAAUAAUUCUAUUAUGUGGAUUUAUUUCAUGGAUCCAUUAUAUUUCUUACUGUUUAAAAAUACAACUCCUCAAGAAAAACUGUUUAAAAAUACAAGUUUAAACAAAUUUUAGCCUAUAAACUAAUUAAAAUUACUCAUAAAAUUACUAGCUUUCUAAGAUGAAUAUUUGAUGAACAUAAUUUGAAAUGAAAAUUGAUUUUAAAGAAUUAAUUUAAUUACAAUUGAAUUUUAAGUAAAGUAAUUUUUAUUUAAGUAUUUUUAUGCUAUAAUCAAAUUUGAGAUAAAAUUCCCAGUCAAAAGUUUGACACCAGAUUUUGUGAUUUUUUAACCUGAUACAAAAAUAUCUUUUUGUAACGGUACCCAAAUAAAAAAUAUCACUAAACAAAAAUCAAUUAUUAUACUCUACCAUGGAAUAAAACAUAUACUUUUCUUUAUCAGAGAAAUCAAACAGAUACUUAACACUGCAGAAUCUGUUUUCUGAUUUCACUCUAAUCAAGCAAAUUAAUUAUUCAAAAAUCAACUUUUUGUAAUUGAUUCUAACCCUAGUUUUGUUUUUGAAAGAUGAUUCUAGCCGGAUAGCACUUGUGUACUAUAAUGGUAUAUACCAUUGCCUAAUUAGAAUGUGUCACGUGGCACACCCUUUAAAAAAAUAUAUCAAAUAAAGAAUUUAUAAAGUAACAUUGAUAGAUGGGACACUCUAAUUUACCAAUGGUAUAUAUCAUUAGUAAUCGUACACAAGUAGAAUCCUAUUCUAACCCUAGUUGAUUUCCUUGAAAUUGUUUAAGCAGAAAUGAACCAAAAGAGCUCCAAAUUAUACUUUGGUACCAAUAACAACACAAAGGAUCAUGAAGAGCCAAUGAAGGUCACACUUUAAUGUACUUUAUGAAGAGAAAUCAAAUCACAAAUUCAUAUAGUUUUGUUAAAAGUAAUAGAGUUCCACACUCCCAACCAAAAUUUUCAACUUCGUUAACCACUUAAACAGCCAUAACUCAAAAACCCUAUCAUGACAUGCCAAGUAUCCCUACUUUAUCAACCAACUUUAACUUUUUUUUCACUUUGCUUUUCUUUUCUUAACCCCGACUCUUUCUUUUGUUGCACUUGUUCCUCUCACACAAAACACUACUUUUAUUAAAUUAUGUUAAUUGUCACACUACAUUAUAUUAUUAUUAAUCAUACCUUAUAGUAUCUCUCCUAUAUAAACCCUUGUCCAACCCUUGUACUCGUUCGUGCCAAAGUACAAAGCUUGUACAAUAACCAAUCCUCUCUUCAAACUAUCACCUCUCUCUCAAUCUCAAACCUAAACAAUACCAAAAUUGUUUUUUAAAUUUUGAUUUGAUUUAGUUCAUUAAACUUUUUUACUUUCACUACCUAUUUUGCUAAGUCUCUAGAGUCAUCAAUUAUUACUACAAUGACAAACAUGAAGAGCAAAACAGCAAAAUUGUUGAAG
rnacentral:lncRNA from 1 species